rnacentral:lncRNA from 1 species
GUGCUCCGAGCUGGGAUCAAUAAUGCCUUUCUGAUUGGCUUCGGUUCCCCAUUCAAAGUCACUGCAUUAGGGCUUGAUUUUUCUCCCCUUUGACUCCUGGCCAGAUUAGAUUGUGAAUUUGGCUGAUUUCAAGCUGCUGGGGGAGGGAAGAAUCAUACAGCGAGCAAGAGAGAGCUGAAAUAUCCUACAGGAUCCCCUGGAGGGGAGAGAAAUCAGGUCUAGAUAAGAGCUUGUUCUCCCUGUCUGGCUAAUGCUUCCCUGUUUGAUGAUCAGAAAACACAAGAUCUAACCUCUCACCAGGAUGCAUAGCUGUGAAAGCUUCAACUAUGAUCAGUGCAUAAAUCUACCUGCAACACAGGAUGUUGGAAAAUUACCGAGAGACAGCAACGUCCUCCCUGCUGUUUGGUGAGAAAAGAAGGAUGCACCUUCAGGUUAAACACUGGGCUUGGUGACCACCCGUGAGAUCCUGAAUGCCGUGUCCAGCAAGCCUCCCAGCCCCUGAGGACAACAACUAGGACACAUCCAGGGCUGUGGCUGGGACCUGCAGUGACACACGGGCUCAGAGGUGAGGGGUGGCAUCUCUGGGGUGAGAGGAGGAGCUGCCU